rnacentral:rRNA from 1 species
AUAUCAAUAAGCGGAGGAAAAGAAACCAACAGGGAUUGCCCCAGUAACGGCGAGUGAAGCGGCAACAGCUCAAAUUUGAAAUCUGGCCCCUAGGGUCCGAGUUGUAAUUUGUAGAGGAUGCUUUUGGUGAGGUGCCGCCCGAGUUCCCUGGAACGGGACGCCACAGAGGGUGAGAGCCCCGUCUGGCUGGCCACCGAGCCUCUGUAAAGCUCCUUCGACGAGUCGAGUAGUUUGGGAAUGCUGCUCAAAAUGGGAGGUAUAUGUCUUCUAAAGCUAAAUAUUGGCCAGAGACCGAUAGCGCACAAGUAGAGUGAUCGAAAGAUGAAAAGCACCUUGAAAAGAGGGUUAAAUAGUACGUGAAAUUGUUGAAAGGGAAGCGCUUGUGACCAGACUUGGGCGCGGCGGAUCAUCCGGGGUUCUCUCCGGUGCACUUCGCCGCGUCUAGGCCAGCAUCAGUUCGUCGCGGGGGAAAAAGGCUUCGGGAACGUGGCUCCUCCGGGAGUGUUAUAGCCCGUUGCAUAAUACCCUGCGGUGGACUGAGGACCGCGCAUCUGCAAGGAUGCUGGCGUAAUGGUCACCAGCGA